rnacentral:rRNA from 1 species
AGGACGAACGCUGGCGGCGUGCUUAACACAUGCAAGUCGAGCGGAAAGGCCCUUCGGGGUACUCGAGCGGCGAACGGGUGAGUAACACGUGAGUAAUCUGCCCCUAGCUCUGGGAUAGCUCCGGGAAACCGGGAUUAAUACCAGAUACGACCACUUUAGACAUCUGUUGUGGUGGAAAGAAUUUUGGCUAGGGAUGAGCUCGCGGCCUAUCAGCUUGUUGGUGAGGUAACGGCUCACCAAGGCGACGACGGGUAGCCGGCCUGAGAGGGCGACCGUCCACACUGGGACUGAGACACGGCCCCAGACUCCUACGGGAGGCAGCAGUGGGGAAUAUUGCGCAAUGGGCGAAAGCCUGACGCAGCGACGCCGCGUGGGGGAUGAAGGCCUUCGGGUUGUAAACCCCUUUCAGCAGGGACGAAGCGAAAGUGACGGUACCUGCAGAAGAAGCGCCGGCUAACUACGUGCCAGCAGCCGC